rnacentral:rRNA from 1 species
GUGUCAGCAGCCGCGGUAAUACGUGGGGGCCGAGCGUUGUCCGGAGUUACUGGGCGUAAAGGGCGCGCAGGCGGCGGCGUGGGUCCGGCGUGAAAGCCCCCGGCUCAACCGGGGAAGGUCGUCGGGGACCGCGCCGCUUGAGGGCGGCAGGGGCCGGUGGAAUGCCUGGUGUAGUGGUGAAAUGCGUAGGGAUCAGGCGGAACACCCGUGGCGAAGGCGGCCGGCUGGCCCGACCCUGACGCUGAGGCGCGAAGGCGUGGGGAGCGAACGGGAUUAGAAACCCCUGUAGUCC